AGCGAACGCUGGCGGCAGGCCUAACACAUGCAAGUCGAACGAACUCUUCGGAGUUAGUGGCGGACGGGUGAGUAACACGUGGGAACGUGGCUUUUGGUUCGGAAUAACACAGGGAAACUUGUGCUAAUACAGAAUGUGCCAUUCGGGGGAAAGAUUUAUCGCAAUUAGAGCUGCACGCGACUGAUUAGCUAGUUGGUGAGGGAACGGCUCACCAAGGCGACGAUCAGUAACUGGUCUGAGAGGAUGGCCAGCCACACUGGGACUGAGCCACGGCCCAGACUCCUACGGGAUGCAGCAGUGGGUAAUCUUGCGCUAUCGGCUAAAUCCUGACGCAGCCAGGCCGCGUGAAUGAUGAAGGUCUUAGGAUUGUAAAAUUCUUUCACCGGGGACGAUAAUGACGGUACCCGGAGAAGAAGCCCCGGCUAACUUCGUG
rnacentral:rRNA from 1 species